GGAACAGGGUUGGAGUUAUAACCUACAGGAGGGUAGAUCUCCAGGAACAGGGUUGGAGAGCCCUGCUCUAGUGUUUUCAGACAUAUGAAUGUGAGAGGACACUGCGUGGGAGUAGAGGCAUGGUUGUGAAUCUACUAAAGAGUUAAGGGGUCAAGUCUGGGAUUAUUUGCUUGCCAGUGAGUUGUGGAGUAGGAGUGUUAUUUCUCUGUUAUCUAGCUGGCCUAAGCAUAAAUGAGAUGUGCUGCAUCUAGCAGGCAGGUAUAUAAUUAAAUAGCAUAAGACAUACUAACAUUAUAAGUGGUAAUACAUGUAGUAGGUCUAAAAUGGGGCAGCAUAAAUUGCUAGAGCAGAAAAAGGCCGGUUCCAAAGCAAAACCAUUGUUUCAUUAUGGAAGAUAGUUUGAAAUUGCCUCCCAUACCGAGUUCAUUUCGAGAACAAAAUAAUCAUUUUAAAUAGUGCCAAAACGUUCUCCUAAGACAUGAUGUCAAAAUAAGACAACAGCUGCUACAGAUGUAUUUAAUAUAUAUUUUUUCAAAAUGUGUUUCGUUCUUGUACAUUUAAAAAGCAAAAUGUUAUUCAGCAAUAAAAUAAAUGUGUAUUGUCUGCCCCAACAAGACAAGAACAAAGCAGGUCUGUCUUCUUCCAGCUCGGAGAGGGAUACCAUACAAUCCAACCAUGUGAUCGUGUGCCAAUAGACACAGAAGGUUAAUAUAUCUCCAUAGAAGAGGACAGACCAGAGCAAAGCAGAGCUGAGCCAGGAAGAAAAAUGACUCCCCCUGAUACUGGCCCUUGUCUAUCUAUCCCCCGCUCCUCCUCUUUCCCUUCCCCAGCAUCGCUAGCGCCUGUCUCUUGUUUGGAUAAGUUAGUGGGGAGACGUCAGCUCGUUGCUGAUGUAUACCACCUGCCUUGGCCUCUCCCUGAACCUUCCUCCAGCUCCCACCACAGAGACAUUCCACUGCCUUUUCUGGGCCUGUGUUUACACAGCAACAGAUUACCCAGCACUCCCCUCUAUCUCUUUCUACUGGUUAAGGACAGGAGGCCAAGGGGCUACUCCAGAACCACCACUUCGCUGCCAAGAUCCUCCCACUCAUAAUCACAGUCAUGGUCAUUAGGCUGAAAAUGGAAUGAAACAAGGAGAUACUACCAGGACUCUUCAAUAAAGAACUUUCAUUUUCGUUUUUUAUUGCAAAAUGUUUUUAAACCUUUUCCAUUGCAUGCCCUCAUGAACAAAACCCAGAGCCGUGGACGGGUCAAAACAAUUAGGGCUCACUAGCGAACAUGCAUGACCUCAUCGUUACUGCCCUUUGAGAAGUUUAAUGACUGUUGAUUUACACUUUAUGUUCAUUGAAAGCAAUGGAAAACGAGUAGUUUGGAUGUGUGCGCACCUAACCAUGACGCAUGGAGAAUGAAAAUGAUCCGUGGAUGAAAGAGAAGUCAUUCACACGGUCCUGCAGACUCUGAACUCCAUGCAACAGCUUCAUUUCAGUUGAUCCCAAGCUCAUUGACGUCUGUCAUCAGGAUCUGACAGACUGUAACAUUGGCUCUGUGUUGAGUCGAGUUUAGUGGAGAAACCACAGUUCCAGUGGGCAGGAGAUCCUUUUUAGUAAUAAAUAAUACAAGUAUAUGUGCUUAGAUAAAUUAGUUUAUGUUUAGUAUGUUUAGUAUGUUAGACCUACUGUCCUCCUUUCAGGGUAGCCAUGUGUACACUGAGUGGUUAAUAUAACCAUGUUGAUAGAAUCAUCACAGGAAAACCCAUAAAUAAUAUGCACACAAAAAACACAAACCCAAAUCAAUCCAUGGGUAUAGGGUAUAAAGGAAAAGGGGGAUACCUAGUCAUGUCCAACUGAAUGUAUUUAACUGAAAUGUGUAUUUUCAGUAUAGGGUAUAGAGGUAAAUAGUGAACGUUCAGACAGUGUUUCUGUGUGGCACAGCCACAGCAGCAGCUGUUAUCAAUCGUGACCACCACCAGACUGUAACGGUCAUUCAGUCUCUCCAUUACUGACCACACACACACUGAUACACCACACAUCAAAUACUUGGGCUUUACCAGAGAAGCACCACCUGGUGUUUGACCUCUCACCUAUAGCCAAGGUUCUACUGCUCUUCCCCCCAGAAACAUAAAACAUUCAGAGUUAGAUCUGGAUAGGUUGUGGAACUGUCCCCAAAAUGUGCUGCUUGUCCAUGAUCAUUCAGAGAGCCUUCUCCCACUUUAAGGUCUCCUACUAAAUUACCCUUACUCAGAGUAUAUCACUUCAUGUCUUCAUUAACAGUAUAUCAUUUGUCUUCAUUAACAGUAUAUCAUUGAAUAUCUUCAUUAACAGUAUAUCAUUUGUCUUCAUUAACAGUAUAUCAUUUAAUGUCUUCAUUAACAGUAUAUCAUUUGUCUUCAUUAACAGUAUAUCAUUUAAUGUCUUCAUUAACGGUGACGGUAUAUCAUUGAAUAUCUUCAUUAACAGUAUAUCAUUUGUCUUCAUUAACAGUAUAUCAUUUGUCAUCUUCAUUAACAGUAUAUCAUUUGUCUUGAUUAACGGUGACGGUAUAUCAUUGAAUAUCUUCAUUAACAGUAUAUCAUUUGUCUUCAUUAACAGUAUAUCAUUUGUCAUCUUCAUUAACAGUAUAUCAUUUGUCUUGAUUAACGGUAUAUCAUUGAAUAUCUUCAUUAACAGUAUAUCAUUUGUCUUCAUUAACAGUAUAUAAUUUGUCAUCUUCAUUAACAGUAUAUCAUUUGUCUUGAUUAACGGUAUAUCAUUGAAUAUCUUCAUUAACAAUAUAUCAUUUAAUAUCUUCAUUAACGGUAUAUCAUUUAAUGUCUUCAUUAACGGUAUAUCAUUUAAUGUCUUCAUUAACAGUAUAUAAUUUGUCUUCAUUAACAGUAUAUCAUUUAAUAUCUUCAUUAACAGUAUAUCAUUUAAUGUCUUCAUUAACAGUAUAUCAUUUGUCUUCAUUAACAGUAUAUCAUUUAAUAUCUUCAUUAACAGUAUAUCAUUAAAUGUCUUCAUUAACA